AGGUAAAAAGCGCAGACUUACCAUUAUUGAAUGUGGGUGUGACAUUAAUGUUAUGAUUGAUCUAGCUAGAGUCGCAGAUCUGGUGCUGAUGCUUAUAGAUGCCAGCUUUGGGUUUGAAAUGGAGACAUUUGAGUUUCUAAACAUCUUUCGAGUGCAUGGCUUUCCUAAAAUCAUGGGCAUUCUCACCCACCUGGACUCUUUCAAGCACAAUAAGCAACUGAAGAAAACAAAGAAGCAGCUGAAGCACUAGUUCUGGACAGAGGUCUACCCAGGGGCCAAGCUGUUUUACCUUUCUGGAAUGGUACAUGGGGAAUAUCAGAACCAAGAGAUCCACAACCUGGCCCGGUUUAUUACAGUUAUGAAGUUUAGGCCACUCACAUGGCAAACUUCACAUCCUUACAUCCUGGAAGACAGGAUGGAAGAUUUCACAAACCCUGAGGAUAUCUGAACAAACAUUAAGUGUGACCAAAAGGUGUCUCUUUAUGUUUAUUUAAGAGGAGCAUACUUGAAAAAUAAAAGCCAGAUUCACAUGCCAGGUGUGGGAGAUUUUGCCGUUAGCGAUGUGAGUUUCCUCCCAGACCCCUGUGCUCUUCCGGAACAGCAGAAGAAGCGCUGUCUAAAUGAGAAGGAAAAGCUGGUUUACGCACCUCUCUCUGGAGUUGGGGGUGUGCUCUAUGACAAAGAUGCUGUCUAUGUCGACCUUGGGGGCAGCCAUGGUUUUCAGGCAAUGGUAAG